UCAGCAAUUUACUCACUCAUGCUGGGAUCAGAAGAGAGAGAGUACAGCCCAAGAGCAACCGCUUAGUUGGAAUGGGCUGUGCUCUCUCUCUUCUGGUUCCAACCUGAGUGCAUGUCGGUUGU
rnacentral:pre_miRNA from 1 species